CUAAAUUAAAAAGAUAUUACCCGACUUCAUCAAGAAAAAAAAUUGAAAUUCGUCCGUGUCUUUCUUUUUCUUUUUAGAUUCUUUAUCUUAUGUAGUUCCUCGAAUUUAUUUGUAUUGAUUGCAGGUUUUUUUCAGGUUUUUUUACAGGGGUCAUUGUAGAAUCAGAAAGAUGUGCAGUUAGGGUUUAUGGUUGACGUAAUUGGAUUGAUGCAGCGAAACGAUUCGGUUUUAGAAUUCUUUAGUUUUUUUUGUUUGUUUUGAAUUUGAUUGAUUAAUUCCAACUCCCAAGCAGAUCUUCUUCUUCAUCUUAUCAAGCAAGUCUUCCAGUUUCUCACUUUACAGUGACACUCUUCUCUUAUUCUAGCUUAUUCACAUCAACGAUGUCGUUGUAGAGACUUUUGAAGAAAUCGUUGAAAUCCUACUUCAGAGAUUCUGUCUCAAUUCCAAACAGAAAUAUCACGUCCUGAAGUGGUUUGUCUCAAUUUUGUAUUUGUAUUUUUGGCUAAAUUUUGAUACGGGUUUUUGAUACGGGUUUAUGCAUAUAUAUAUAUAUAAUCUUUGUUACAAUUGAAGAAUUAGAAACUUAAACUGUAGGGAAGGCCCAAUUUCACGUCUUUAGAACAAUACCAAUGGUCUUAAUGUUAGUUAUGUCUUCUUAGAAGAGUUCCUAAUUCAAUUGAGGUUGAUAUAUAGCAACUGUGGAGGAGAUAAGAGAUUUGUGGUUAGGUUAGCUUCAAAGGUGGAAAUAUAAAAAUAGAGGUCAGUUAUGUGGCUCAAAUUAUAUCAGUAGAAGAGACAUUGCACCUGAAUUCUUAGUUGUUCAUGGACGUUAGAGUUGGCAGAGUUUUCAGGGCAAGUUGAAGCAGUGACCACAUCGUGUUCGGGACCAGGAUUUCAGAUUGAAAAUCCAGAUACGAUGUGAUUCUGGAAACUCGAUUGUGCGAUGUGACUGCCGAUGCAUUUGAGUUUCCAGUAUUACAUUGCUUCUUGGUUUCACAGUAUUACAUUGCUUCUUGGUUUCGUAUAUUGUUCGGAUAAUAAGUCCUUGAGCCCCCUGAUAAAAUGUUUGCGUACCAGGUUUGCCAAUUCAGAUAAGUAUGGUACGUUCUCAUGGGAAUGUGAAUUUUGAUUAUCACAUUAUCAUUUCGGAUUGUAGAAUUUGUUUAUAUGGUUAGCUCAAUCACUUAGUGUUUCUUAUUGUUCGAGUCUCUUUGAAUUCACGCUUAAAAAGAAUCUCUGUGUUUUGAUGCCAACAUAUUAAUGUUGUGUGUGUAAGGGAAACAAAUAGUAUGUGCUGGUCUUUGAAAUAAUGAGACCAGUUGUGGGAGAGAGAAAGGCUAUUAAACGAAUAAUAGUUGCCACACCUUCAUCAGGCAAAGUUACCUCGAUGGAAACAACUUAAAUAUGCAGGUUAGGUUCUAAAAUUGAACAAAAUUCUCUUAAUAAUAUGCUAUUGUUUCCUGAGUCUUGAUUCAGGAACAUCUAGCAUUGCACAUGCUUUAACACUACACAAGGAUAACAGUUACUUUAAUCAACCUGAUAUGAGAUAUAUGAAGAAAAUGAAGGUAAACCUAUAUUUAUACGUGUGUUGUUUCUUUGCAGUAGAUUUUUAACUUGAAAAUUUAGCAAAUUGGAUUUUUCCGUAGAUCAUGUAUGUCAUACGAAUAUAUUCCGACUCCACAUUCAUAGUCUAAGUUUUGUAUCCUGCAUUCCUAUCUUAAUCAAUUUUUAUUUAUUUAAUAGGGAAGAGAUGAUUCAGAAGUUAGUGCAUUGAAGGUAUGUCAUUUGCAUGGAGCAACAGGGAUUGUAUGAAGUAAUCCAUGGACCACUUUAUUCCAAUAAACACAGAUGUUACA